UACGUAGGGUGCGAGCGUUAAUCGGAAUUACUGGGCGUAAAGGGCUCGUAGGCGGCCAACUAAGUCAGACGUGAAAUCCCCAGGCUCAACCUGGGAACUGCGUCUGACACUGGAUGGCUUGAAUUCGGGAGAGGGAUGCAGAAUUCCAGGUGUAGCGGUGAAAUGCGUAGAUAUCUGGAGGAAUACCGGUGGCGAAGGCGGCAUCCUGGACCGAUAUUGACGCUGAUGAGCGAAAGCUAGGGGAGCAAACGGG
rnacentral:rRNA from 1 species